GUUCCAGAAGUGCCAUUUGCCUUCUCGGUUCAUAUCCAACACCCAGCUAAAGUGAUCAUUCCCGAUUUAGGGCGUAUCAUUAAGUUUGCCAUUUAAAGAUUUGAUUCGGAAUGUCAACAUCUGAGGAAGAAGUAUGAUAUUGAGAAGACUAAGCAGGAGAAGAAUGAGGUACAUGAUGAUUGUUUGCAUCAGAAGGUUGAAAAACAGAAGGAUCAUUAGUGUCAACAUGAACAUGAGACGAGUCAGUACCAAGAUCAAAGAAAACCGGAAAAGGAGAAUCAUUUAGCACCGGAAGAGGUAAAAGUUGUUGACCAAAGAUGUCAUUACCUAAAGAAUGAGAGAGAUUUCCUGAAAAAAGAAAGCUUGUCUUAUGGAAAAUAACAUUCCGGGAAAUAUAAAUAUGAUUAGUAUGAAGAUCAAGGACCUUGUAUCCUUUCUUUUGUAUCCUUGAGGAUAGCCAAGAAAUAUACAUGGUGAAGCUCGUGGGGAGAAUAUAUGAAGGUCUUUUAACAACAUAAAGGUGAACCACAGACAACCAAAAAUCCAAAGAAGAUUGUAAUUAGGAACAGUGGAAGUUAAUAGUUCAUACGAAGACUUUUGUGAAGAAGAGGAGUAUGAGUUCUGUUAAUGAGAUAAAUGGCUGCUUGAAUGCAACCACCCCAAUACUUAAUUGGUAUGUUAGAUUGAAAAAGAAAAGAUCGAGAUACAUACACAAUGUGUUGAUGCUUCCUCUCAACAACAAAAUUCUGUUGACGAGUAUAGGCACAAGAAAAGUAAUGUAUGAUAUCACUCAUAUCAUCCCAAGGAGUGACUCUUACUCUCUCAAAUAAGAGGUUCAGUCGUAGUACUUAGGGAUCGAAUCCACAAGAAGCUAGGCCACACAAUAGAUCUAAAUCAGUUUAUGAUUAAGCUAGGAAAACAUAGUAAAUCAAUAAACAGCAGAGGCGAACAAGGUAGUUGUUCAUUUGAUUGAUUGAUUGAGGUUGUAAACAGUUAUGAGAAAACAACUAGAUCUAGGGUUUCAGGUAAUCAUGAUUAUAAUGAUAUGGAAUGCUUAGGUUGUCAAUCCUAGAACUUGAAUGAUUAUAAUGAUAUGGAAUGCUCAGGUAAUCAUGAUUAUAAUGAUAUGGAAUGCUCAGGUAAUCAGGUAACUUUCCAAUCGCUUCUCCAAUUCAAAAGCUCAUAAAUUGAAUAUAAUCAGCGCAGGAAUUUGGUUUCACAAAAUACUCUAAUUGGUUGAGUGUAGUUACCCACUAUGGAUGUUGAUGUUAGAUUUACUCGGAGAACAAAGGAUAUGUGAUCUGUAGUUUUAACUAAUUCUAAAUCUUGCCUGAGAAAAGUGAAUCUGAAUCUCUCUAAAUUAGAGGUUAUAUGAUUUUUCUAAUGAGCUGCAUUUUUGAUAAUUCGUAUUCAUAUGAUUCAACUGCUUUAAUCAACAAUUUUGGUAUGUAAUGCAUAUUAAAUAGAGUUGUGUCCAAGCUUUUCCAUUGUAGGGAGAUAUACAAAGCUUCUGGUAACGAAGAUUAAAAAUGAUGAGUGAGAGGACCUUAAGCUCUUGGAAACUGGUGGUGCUACUCCUGCUUUAUCUGCAAGAAAGGUAAGUGCUAACCAUAGCAUUUUCAUGUUCAGUGUUUUAUGCAAUUUUCACUGUGUCUCGAUUAUUUGCAGCCAUCAUGGGUAAUGGGUUACAUACGAAGAAUUUGGCAUGGGCUUCACUGAAAUAAAGGCUCCGCCAGUACAUACUACUUUACAAAAUGUCUUGGCAGGUGGUGUCUUCCCAGUUGAAGCAAAUGGGGAUAGAUCUACUGUUAACCUGCAGCCUGAGUCUUGCGGCAAGAACCUGUGACAAAAACUAAACCACCAGAUGAAAGAAUGAUUAAUAUUCCUUCAAAAUCUGAUCAAGGAUAUCCAUAAUCAAAGCGAAGCAGUCCAUCAGAUGGUCAACCAUCCAUGUCUACGAAACCAAUGGAUCAAAAGAAAGCAAGAUGAAUCACCCAAAAUAUCUGAUGAGAACUCUAACAAAGCUGGCUCCAAGAAUUCCGAAACCGAGGUAUCACUGUAUCAGUGUGUUUUUCUCUUUUAUUUGUUUACAUUAGCAACCCCUUUACUUAUGAACUCCAAAGUUGUCAUUAAGCCUUAACAGAAAUUACUUAGGAAAAUUAACCCAUUGUACUUUCUUGACAAUCUCAUGAUUAAAAGACUGUUUUUGAGAAAGUGAUGAAUAGAUAGUUUGUAUUUGGGAUUACAGUAUAGAUGUAUGGACUGUGUAUAACCUAUCCGUUUACGUAGGCUCUAGGUUGUGAGUUAGAGCGCUAAGGUCGUGAUUUAGUCCCAUAAUAGGAAAAAAAUAUAUAUUCUCUGCCUUCACUCGAACGGUUCGAGUCGAACCUAUCCCCACCCUUUUUAAUUUUCGAAGUUGCUCGGUAAUCAUUUUCAGCUUAUCAACAUUUCAUGUAGAUUUUGAACCUCAACUCUAUAUCAUGUAUAAUUUAUAUUUGGUUGGCAGGUGAUUAAAGCCUUCUUCCAAACGAGGUGCAUCGCUUGCGUCGAUGAAGAAAUCAAUAAAACAAGAUUUUUUAGAAGACGAUGGAAAGUCCGGUAAAGCUGUUGGAACAUCCACACCUGACAAAGGUGUUAUAUAUUUGGAGAGGAGGCAGGCAUUUUUGGCUUUGACCAAAGCUUCUCCCGACAUAUCAGCCAAUUGUAGCUUAGCUACUGGUUCGUCCAAAGUUUUGGUGUUAAGCACAAAAUCAUUAGACGUUCAUAGAGUCUAAUGAGAGCUCAAUGGACCUUUUAGGAAUUCUAACUUUUAAUCUUUCGUGCAUUCAAAGAUGGUGUUGUAGUUUUAUUAAAUUCACUUUCUUCGAAAUGAAGAAAAUAUGAAGUAAUAUUUACUUUAAUAGUUUAUUUUAUUUUCUUUUGUAAAAUAAUAUUCUAAAUAUGUUAUAUCUCUAAUUAAUUAUUAAUAACACCUUUCACUAUUUUAUGCUCACUCAUGUUACUAAAUUGUUUUAUUUUAACGAUAAUCUAACAUAAUUAUCAUUUAAUAUAAAUGAAAUAUUAUCAUACAAUAAAUUGAUUAUAUAACAUGAAUAAACAAACAUAUAGUUUCAUAUUUAAAAAAAAAAUCAAUAUGUAUAUAUUUCUUCUAUAAGUGAUUAACAAAAGUGUUUUGAAAUAAAAUAUUAACUUAUUUAUCUUUGAUUAUUCUUAAAUAGGGUAAGAAUUCUUAAAAAUGAAUAUUCUCAUAUUCUUCGAUAUACAUAACUAAAUAGAUAAAAGUCGAAACUUUGAAAUUAAUUGGAUAAUAUUAACGUAUACAAUAUAUUUUACAAAAUAUACAAAAUAAGUAAAAAGUUCAUCUUCAAAAAUGAAAAUGUGAAUAGUAUAUCUUCAAAUGUGAAUUAGCAUUGUUCAUUAUUCAUUUUAAAUUAAGAAAUGGAAUAGGAUUGAAGCAAAAAAAAAAUACUCUGAAAUGAAUCAAAAAUUAAAAUAGGGUUGAAGAUAGUUAAAAUUACUUAUUCUUCUUAGCCAUUUUAAUCGUAUCAGCCAUCUUAGCUCAUUGAUAUGAAUUACUAUUUAACAAAAAAAUCAUGUUUUUUAUUUUUUACAACACAAUAAAAACAUGUUAAAAACCAUUUCCAAACAAUUUUUUUUCACUUUCACAUCACAAAGCACAAAUGUGGUAAACUAUUGAAAUAAGAAAAUCACAUUGAACCGAAUCAAACUUUCGAACAAUAUUUCUAAUGAAAAAAUACAAAAUAAGAUCAACAGGAACAUAAAAAUCUAAAUUGUAAAAUAAGUUUAGUACAUAAUCCGCGUGUAGUGCGGAAAAAAACUCUAGUACUUCUAAAGACUCCAAGAAAGAGUCCACCAUCGUGGAUGCUCUAAUUUCCCUUUGUUGUUUAAUUUUGGCAAUUUCUCGGUAGCCCAAAUCGUAGCCCAAUUAAUCUUUCACCCCUAACCCCAAACCAAGUUGCAUUGCCUUCAUCAUUUUCCUCCAAAUAGGAUCGCAGCUACGGUUACCAACUCUUCAGAUUCGCUCUCUUUCCCACCACCUUCAGUCAUAAAGCAUCAACCCACCGGAUGAAACUUACUCGAUUCCCCCAGCUUGAUACCCUAUAGAUAUAUCUCUAUGUUAUCACGGUUUUCAACUUCAACAAAACAAAUAAUCACAAGCGUCAAUGGCAGAGAUAACCGCGAAAUCAAAAUGCAGAGCCCUCACCUCUUUGUUCUUCAACGACAGCUCCGGGUUUGGGAGAUUUAGAGUUGCGAUUCCGCUUAAACCACUUCUGGAAGCACGAAACGCAGCGGAUGGUGGAUUCCUUAUUGGUCUUGAGCUUCGUCUCAUCGAUGAACAGGUUAUGCAAAGAAGUUAGAUGGAGUUAUCCAAACAAAGAGAGCACUCUGCAAAGAUUUAACUGGUCAAUCAGACCAUUCGAGCCCGUGCUGCUUCUAAAACAGACCAAAAUUGGUUGGAACUGCUAUUCCUUCUGUGGAGUGAGCACAAGAAAAUACUGAGGAAUUGUAUAAGGUUUUUUCUAUGAGUUAUGCUAUGGGCAAGAGCUGCAUAGGUCAAGAUUGCUCGCUGUUGCUGAUAUAUAUGCUCCUGUUAAAUUCCAAUAAUUUAUGCAUUUUAUUACAUUGGCGACAACUAUUUCAAGACUAAAGCAGAGCCACAAUUACAAUAUGCACCAACGAAGACUUUGGCAGGACAUAUAGAGCAAUACAAAGAGCAAGAUUUCUUGGAAUGAAAGGAAGCCAAGAGAAAAGAAGUGAGUCACAAAAAAAGAUUGAAGAGCGGUAUGUAAUGCUGAGUAAGAGCUAGAAAGGUAACAACACACAAGGAAGUCGAAGAAAGCACACGAAGAUGCUACAAAACUGCAGGAACUAAUGGACCAGGGAUUUGAGACGCAUACGAUGGAGCACAGGCAAAAAAAAAUGAAGAUCCUAAGGAGGAGAAGAGGACGAAUGUGAAGUAGAGGAUAUCAAUGGUGGGGAGGAUGAGAUCAUGAUGGAUGAUUUGCUGGAAGAGGGAAGAGAUGGAAACGACAAGGGAAUGUGCACUGAUACUACAAAAGCAGAAACAGUGGAAACAUUAAACAUUACGUCCUCUCCAAAUUUAAGCAAAACAAAAAAAAACAUUACGUCCUCCAAGUUUGCGAGUAAUAUAAACCAAAAAUCCUCACUUGCACAAAUUCAGUCAGAAGAAGAAAUAAAAAUUUUCAAAAUUUUAUUCGAUGUCGUUAUAAUUUAUAAUAAUGAUCAAACUCUUAUAAUUUUUUUAUUGAUUUCCAUGAAAUCAAUAAACAAGUUCCUCAAUGGUCAUACAAAUUAACAAGUGAAUUAGAAGAAUUAGAAACCGAAACUGAAGAAAAUAUACCAACCGAAUCAGGAAUUCGUUCAAGAAAAGCAAAACGUGUAGUGAUUUUUACUGAUUUAAAAGAACCGCAUAACGAGAUUUAUACUAAUCUCAAAGAUAAUCAAAAUUCUGAUCAAACAGAUGAAAUGGCUUUGAUCCGUUAUUCACAACAAUCUGAUUUUCGUCGAGAGAUAAUUAAAGGAUCCAUGCGUUCCCAAAGGCGUAAAAUUGUUAUUUGGAAAUUUUUGCAAGCAAAAGCACAUUCGCCCCUUUUUUUUU